UCUUCGUGACCAUUUUUUGCAAUCGGACGAUUGGGUACGGUCACCUUGCUUUCUAUUUGACUCGACAAAUACGAUUGUUUACGUAAAGGCACAUGUUUGUGUGAUGUUAUCUUGUUAAAAAUUGAUACAAACGAAUAAUUCUGUUUUAAAUGUUGUAUUAUUGGAACAGUUUAUUUAAAUGGUAUAUGUAAUACACACCUAGAUAUUAGGAGGUAAAGCUGGGAGAAGGUUCAUCAUAUGGACGCCAACGCUGCUCUGGGGGAGAUGCUUCUGAUCACCCGAGACUCCAAUGCUGUUUUUGGGAUUACCUUGCAAAGCAGUGUGGGCGUACACAAUAUAUUAGAAUACAUCAACGAUGAAGGAAGCAAUAGAUCGACUGAAACCACGAAGGCGUCAUAUCCUGACCGGUUACUAAAACUCUGGAAGCCAUCCGUUAAGAAGCACUGGUCUUUCACUCCAGAUAAUAGCAGGACCUGAUGGAUGGGCAAAAGUGCCUUUUUCUUUUUCACUUGUAAUGCAAGCAGUACGCUGUUGCCAUAGGAGGACCGAAUGAAAAAGUGCCUGUAGGUAACGAUUUUCAUUAAAGAUAUUAGAUGUGAUGUUGAAUUAUCUUCCUUCGACAUUUGUAACUUAUCUUUUAGGAAUGUCAACCAUUGUGAUAGUAGAAAUCAAUGAUAACGUUGUUUUUUUUCAGUUUUCAACAAUGAAUAUUAUAUUUUAACACUAGUAUGAAAAACUUUAAUUACAAAAAUUUAAUUUUUAAGCAAAGGAGACUUAUAAUUCUCGCUGUAACUCAUCCAUUGUGUAUCCAAUUGUAAGUUUUUGGCAAAUGUAAUUUUACUUUAGGUGCCUUUUCGUUUUAUUUUAUUUCUUGUGAAUUUAAUAGCGCAGUAAUUCUAUUUUUUUUGUGCAUUUCCACAGAUUGGUCGAAGAAUAAAACAAUUGUCUGCACUGAUAUCGUUAUUCAUGGACUUCGUUUGGUUUUUAUUCGUCUUCAGUUAAUCUUCGAUCACGAGUAAAAGCAUUUUCGAUUCCACCGAAACAACACUGAUCGUGAGCUACGUUUCUUCCUGCUCUGUUGGCUGAUUCAUCUUUGAAGCAUACAUUCUCCGCAAUUACUUAAGAUUAUCCAACAAAUGAGAGAGAAUAAAGUUCAACUUGGUAGUGCUCACACAACCAUUGUCUAUAUGGAUAUCGUCUUUCCUGGACUAUAUUCCUGAUUUUCUGUUUUUAUCGUCACCUUACAAGACGAGGAAAAGCAACUGGCCGUUCAUUCCAGAUAAUGGCGGGACCUGAUGGAUGGGCAAAAGUGCCUUUUUCUCUUUCCACUGGUAGUGCAAGCAGUAAUUGUUGCCAAAGAAGGACUUAAUGAAAAAGUAUCGAUUAUCCAACAAAUGAGAAAGAAUAAAGUUCAACUUGGUGGUAUUCACAUGGAUAUCGUCUUUCCUGGACUAUAUUCUUGAUUUCCUAUUUUCAUCGUCACCUUGCAACAUUAUACACGUAAUUGUCAACCGACGAGGGAAAGCAACUGGAGAUAUUCCACUGAAACAACAAAUUUUCGGCUAUGUGGUAGUCCUCCUGGAUUUUGUUUGCUUACAGUCUACAGUUAAUUAAGAUCGACGAUGGAGAAGACAAAUAAGAUGCGUAGUUAGUUCAUUAUCUUGCAUGCUCUAUCUAAUAGAAUUAAUUCUUGAAGUUUAUUUUAUUCAAAUUAAUUGUUUAUUUUGCAUG